rnacentral:ncRNA from 1 species
GAGUUUGAUCCUGGCUCAGGAUAAACGCUGGCGGCGUGCUUAACACAUGCAAGUUGGACGGGAAUACUCGAGGAAGAGACUUCGGUUAAUUUUUUGGGUAUGAGAGUAGCGGACGGGUGAGUAAUACAUAAGAAUCUAUCCAUCAGAGGGGGACAACUGCGGGAAACCGGAGCUAAUACCCCGUAAGCCGGAAGGUGAAAGGGAGCAAUCCGCUGAUGGAGGAGCUUGUGUCCUAUCAGGUAGUUGGUGAGGUAAGAGCUCACCAAGCCGAAGACGGGUAGCCGGGCUGAGAGGUUGUACGGCCACAUUGGAACUGAGAGACGGUCCAGACUCCUACGGGAGGCAGCAGUGGGGAAUAUUGGGCAAUGGGCGAAAGCCUGACCCAGCGACGCCGCGUGAGGGAAGACGGCCUUCGGGUUGUAAACCUCUGUUGCAGGGGAAGAAGGAAGUGACGGUACCCUGCGAGGAAGCUCCGGCAAACUACGUGCCAGCAGCCGCGGUAAUACGUAGGGAGCGAGCGUUAUCCGGAAUUACUGGGCGUAAAGGGCGCGUAGGCGGAAUGACAAGUCAGCAAGUGAAAGCGUGGGGCUCAACCCCAUGAUGCGGCUGAAACUGUUAUUCUAGAGGCAUGGAGAGGCAAACGGAAUUCCCGGUGUAGCGGUGAAAUGCGUAGAUAUCGGGAAGAACACCAGUGGCGAAGGCGGUUUGCUGGCCAUGAACUGACGCUCAUAGCGCGAAAGCUAGGGUAGCAAACGGGAUUAGAUACCCCGGUAGUCCUAGCAGUAAACGAUGUAUGCUGGGUGUGGGUGUAGCGAUACAUCCGUGCCGAAGUUAACGCGAUAAGCAUACCGCC